UGAAGUUUGGAGCGCUGGUGUUCCAGCCUCCCGUAUAUUAUACAGAGUUAGCAAAGUAUACCGGUCCAGCAUAAUAUGCUGGAGUUCGUACAUAAUUGCACAAGAACUUCCGUAUAUUAUACGGGACCGGUCGCUGUUGCAGUAAAAUAAUGGCUAUUUCUUAUUAACUUGGUAAAUGCUGGCUAUUUUUGAUUGACCGGUGUGAAAACUGGCUAUACCAUGAUAAUUUAACCUCAUUUGAUGCCCGCUUGGAUGAUAGGCCCAACUUCCAGUUGAUUUUUGGCCCAGCAACUAUUUUUCUUGUGAGGCCCAACGUCAAGUAUAUAUUACAUUCUUUCUUUCUUCUUCAUCCAAGUUUGGCACACUCUCUCCGUCUCCGGCGAACUUUGCUUCUCUCCGGCAAAAAUAGAGCUGUGAUUUCCCUUUUUGUCCUCUGGUGUAAUCCCUUUUUCCAAUGCUCUUUAGUUGUAAAUAUUCUUAAUAGAAAAUGAAAAAUAAAAAAAGUGAAUGCCAUAAAAGGUGCAUUUUUUAUCAUUACAUUUUUAGUUUUCAGCAUUCCUUUUAAUGGUAAUAUAAUAAUCUAUGAACUGGGGGUUUAUCCGUUUGAUGUUUAUUGUUAGUUACUGCAUAAAGAGUAUCAACUUCAAUUUCUGAUUUUUCCAAUUUAAUAUGCAUCUUAGCUUUCCAUGUUAAUAGUAUCCUGUGAUAUUCUUAAUUGAAAAAAGAAAUUAGAAAAAGGUGGAUAAGGCCAAAAAGUUGUAAUCUUUAUCAUUAUAUUGCUGGUUUUCAGCAUGUUUUUUAAUAGUAAAACACGAAUAAAUUACCCCACCUGGUGUUUACAUCAAACCAUACUGAUUUACCAUGGUUAAUUCAUAGAUUACGGUGAGAUGCAUUUUAAUUAACUACUAGCCUCUCUACCCUACCUUGGCAUUCGUACACAUCACACUCCUCAGACCCCACUUGUGAGAUUACAUUUGUUUUUUUUUUUUUUUGUGUUCUUCACUCCUCAGAUCCCACUUGUGGGAUUACAUUUGUUUUUUUUUGUUCUUGUUGUUGUUAUAUAUUAGUUAUGAGCUUGUAUGUGAAGACAUCUAUUAUAUAUUCAUUGGGUGCUGGUUUGGGGUUAUCAUGAUUAGUGUACACUAUCACUGCAUGAUGGAAUAGUCAAUUUUGAUUUGUACUUUUUUUUAUGAUUUUUAGAAAUUAAUUUUGCAUUCUUGUUUACUUUCUAUAUUGGUUACUCUCAAAUCUUCUUAGUUUGAUAAAGAGAAACGGGAAUUAGGCUAUCUAAAGGUGUAAUGUUAAUCAUUUUUAUUGCAAGCGGUCAGUGUG
rnacentral:lncRNA from 1 species